CCAAACAAGUGCUCUGAUCCUCAAAUGGGUCUUCUUUAGAUACAAAAACGAUAUCUGGGUUUGAAUCGUUUGAUUCGAAAGCAAAAACAGAGAGAUUCAGAGACAAUGGCAAUGCCAUGGGCCGUGACCCUUUGGAUGGCAGAGAUGGUGUGGGUGGCUCUGACUGUCUGGGUCUCUUCUUGCCUGAUCGUUGCUGAUGAUGUUGCCAGCUCUCUCAGAACCGGCGAGAUUGGUCCUUUCCAUGUUGGCUGAUUGGAUUGUCAAAUUCAACACUACCUGGCAAACGUUGUAUAGUAAAUCACUACAGUAAGGUUUCUUUUAUGUGGGAGUGUUUUCAUGAAGAGGCUCAUCAUCAUGGCUAUGGGUAUGUUUUGUAAGCUCGAAGAACCAGAAGAAAAAAAGAGCUUCAAACAUAAAAGCAGUGGGAUGCCAAAGAAAGAACUAAUUUUAUCGUAUUGAGCCAUUUUUUUAAUGGUAGUGGCGAAAUGAUGGGUGAAAUCUUGCCACGCUUCUAACAUAUAUAUAUAUAUGUUUUAGAAGUUGCUUCCAACAUAUAUGAAGUGAAUGAGUGGUUUUCUCCAUUUUCAUUUUUUGAAGUCCACCUAGCAUUUCUUAUAA